UACGUAGGGCGCAAGCGUUAUCCGGAAUUAUUGGGCGUAAAGAGCUCGUAGGCGGUUUGUUGCGUCGGCUGUGAAAUCCCGAGGCUCAACCUCGGGUCUGCAGUCGAUACGAGCAAACUAGAGUGUUGCAGGGGAGACUGGAAGUUCCUGGUGUAGCGGUGAAAUGCGCAGAUAUCAGGAGGAACACCGGUGGCGAAGGCGGGUCUCUGGGCAACAACUGACGCUGAGGAGCGAAAGCGUGGGGAGCGAACAGG
rnacentral:rRNA from 1 species